rnacentral:rRNA from 1 species
CUUACGACGGGAUCCCUCGGGAGGAAGAUGUAAGCGACUUAGUGGCGGACGGGUGAGUAACGCGUGGGUAACCUGCCCUGUACAGGGGGACAACAGCCGGAAACAGCUGCUAAUACCCCAUAAGCGCACGGUAUCGCAUGAUACAGUGUGAAAAGCCGAGACGGUACAGGAUGGACCCGCGUCUGAUUAGAUAGUUGGUGGGGUAACGGCCUACCAAGUCAGCGAUCAGUAGCCGGCCUGAGAGGGUGAACGGCCACAUUGGAACUGAGACACGGUCCAAACUCC